rnacentral:lncRNA from 1 species
UACAUGUAGACCAAGAAUUAUUAUUUUGAUUAUCGAGCUUUUUGUUUUUGCCAACGAAUUCAAGAUCACCCAUCUUGUUAAUAGAAAGCUCUCAUGAAAUUAAUGUAGGACUUCCUUAACUGUCUUGCUUUAAUAUUACAAUAUUGAAAGACAUCUAGAAAGAAGACUUUAGAAUCUCUCGUGAAGGAGGCUUCAAAGCUUUGAAAUGCACUCAAUG